AUGAAACGCUGUACUGUAUUGGUACCAACAGAACUGGGACAGAGCCCAGAGUUUCUGACUUACUUCAGGUAUGAAGCUCAAUUAGACAAAUCAGGGCUUCCCAGUGAUUGGUUCUCUGCAGAGAGGGCUGGGGGACCCUUCUCCACUCUGAAGAUCCAGUGCACAGAGCAGGAGGACUCUGCUGUGUAUCUCUGUGCCAGCAGCUCAGCCACAGUUCUUUCCCAGGAGGACCAAGCCCUGAAUCAGGGGCAGUGUUGCCUUCCCUACUGUGCCAUGAAUCACGAGCUCUUAGGCUGGGUGCUGCUUUGUCUCCUGGGAGCAGGCCCAGUUGAAGCUGGAGUCACCCAAAGUCCCACACACCUGAUCAAAACGAGAGGACAGCAAGUGACUCUGAGAUGCUCUCCUAUCUCUGGGCACAGCAGGGUGUCCUGGUACCAACAGGUCCUGGGUCAGGGGCCCGAGUUAAUUCUUGAGUAUUAUGAAAAGGAACAGAGAAACAGAGAAAACUUCCCUAAUCGAUUCUCAGGUUCCCAGUUCCAUAACUAUAGCUCUGGGCUGAAUGUGAGCGCCUUGGAGCCGGGGGACUCGGCCCUGUAUCUCUGUGCCAGCAGCUUGGCACAGCCCGGCAGAGUCACCGACAUUCUGUAUAUAAACUUCCUGCCUCAGCUUUGACUUGAGAGCUACUGGCCCCACCCAGGUUUCACUCCUUCAAGGGAAGCUUUGAGUUGUUAGGAAGGCAUGUCUUGUGUCCUGCUGAGCACAGAGCUCUCCCAAACAACAGAGCCCAGGCUUCCUGUGCCCUGAGUGCUCCUGCUUCUCUGUUGCAUCUUCUUGCAUCUUGUCACUUCCUGGGUAACUUUAGUAGAAGAGUGGAUGCUGAGCCCCAGAUAUGUGCUAGAUUCUUCGCAUUUGUAAUAUAUCUUCAAGCUUUGCAACAAUCUUACAAAUCAAACAUUCUUAUUCUUCCUUUCCAGAUGGAAGGCUCAGGGACAUUGAGUCAUUUCCCCCAGUGUCUCCUGGCUUUUAAGGAUCAGAAGUGGGAAACUAACUAGUCGGUGACGAUCAAGUCCACACAUUUUCCACCUACCGCCGCUCCGUCAUCAGCUCCUGUGUCCUGGUCAGUAUGACAGAGCCCUCACCCUGUCCUCCAGUGACCAGCAGGGCCGCAGUAGAGGCUCAGACAUUUCAGCGGUCAUUACUACGGCCUCUGCAUUAGCAAUUUGAUGAAUGUUAAAUU